rnacentral:rRNA from 1 species
GACGAACGCUGGCGGCGUGCUUAACACAUGCAAGUCGAACGGAAAGGCCCUGCUUUUGUGGGGUGCUCGAGUGGCGAACGGGUGAGUAACACGUGAGUAACCUGCCCUUGACUUUGGGAUAACUUCAGGAAACUGGGGCUAAUACCGGAUAGGAGCUCCUGCUGCAUGGUGGGGGUUGGAAAGUUUCGGCGGUUGGGGAUGGACUCGCGACUUAUCAGCUUGUUGGUGGGGUAGUGGCUUACCAAGGCUUUGACGGGUAGCCGGCCUGAGAGGGUGACCGGCCACAUUGGGACUGAGAUACGGCCCAGACUCCUACGGGAGGCAGCAGUGGGGAAUAUUGCACAAUGGGCGGAAGCCUGAUGCAGCAACGCCGCGUGCGGGAUGACGGCCUUCGGGUUGUAAACCGCUUUCGCCUAUGACGAAGCGUGAGUGACGGUAAUGGGUAAAGAAGCACCGGCUAACUACGUG